UGUGGAUUUAAAGGGAGCUAAUUUAUUUGUGGAUGCAUCUGGGAUAUUCAAACUUGCUGACUUUGGGAUUGCUAAACAUCUAACCGGACAAGCAGCUUGCCGCUCUUUGAAGGGAAGUCUAAACUAGAUGGCUCUAGAGGUACUCUGCUUUUGUUAACGUUAAUGCGGCAUACUCAGAGGUCCUCCCCAUACUCGCCGGAUGAACAGAUUUCUCUCGAAUCUCUUGAGGUGGAAGAUGAGGAAAAGUGAAAGACGCUGAUGUGGGAUCAUGCUCAGGCUAUUCUUCAACCUUAUCUCUAAAAAGUGCAUCCUUUUUUUUCAAAUGCUAUAGGUUAAUGAGUUUAAUUAAUAUACGAUUGCUUCACUUCUCAAAAAGUCCUUAUAAAGAUGUAGCUUAUCUGUCUAUAUAGUCAUGCAGCUCUAACGGCGGCCUUUUGCAGAACUGUCCGCCAGGAGAAAGGAUCAUCCUUGGCUCUACUCUUGAAGAAAGCCCUGCUACUCAAGCGUGCAAACUCGACUCAAGUUGCCAUAUGAAUUGACUUUCCUUCAUGUGGCCAUGCUUUGUGUAUUUUGAACGCAAUCGCAUUUUUUUUGGCUACUGGAAAUGAGUCAAUCUGGUCGAUAUUUCGGGUUAGUCAAAAAAAUGAAAGGACAAUUUAUUAUUAUGGAUUGAUCUUCCAGGAAUAUUAGCCUUCUGAGAAAAGAGAGAAUUUUGGGCAGCAGUACCUUUAAUCUAUUCGUGUUUAGAAAUGAUUUCAAAUAUAAUAUUGCUCUAACUUGUCGAUCGAAAAUGUUGUGACGUUCGCCACUUUGCUCUUUUGGAUCAGAGCAGCGUGACCCUGAUUGAACUUGUUUCGACAUUAAACUAUCUAGUAUAGAAUACUCGACUUGCUUAGUAGUUGUAUCAUAUCUGGAAACACAAGCCAGGAAGUUUUCUUUCCUCCCUUUGCUGUAAAAGGUCACCUUAGCCCCACUUUAGGUUAAAAUGUAAAAAGACCAAGAAGAAAGAAUUGCACAAUUAUCACCCCUCUUUGAAUGCCUCGAAGUCAUGGAUAGAUGGAUAACCCUACAUCUUCAGCUCAAGUUGCUGAAACCACUAGCAAGUCAAUGGGGAAAAGGCCAGCUUAUUGGACGUGGCACUUUCGGAAGUGUUUACAUUGCAAGCAACUGAGAAACCAGAGUUCUGGGUGAAUGGAAGGAGUUUGAGCUAUUGCCUAAUGAUCCAAAUUUGGCUGAGUGCAUGAGGCAGUUUAAACAGGUAAUGUUUUUGUUAUGCUUUGGCAUCUAAUCCAUCCUCUCGUCUGAUCUAAAUAUGCUGCGAGGAAACUUUCUUUCAUCAUUUCCAGUUAAUUGAUUGCUUUGCUACUAUAGGAAAUUCAGGUACUUAGCCAGCUUAGACAUCCGAACAUUCUGCAGUAUUAUGGCAGUGAAAUUGGAUUUAAAGGGAGCUAAUUUAUUUGUGGAUGCAUACGGGAUAGUCGGACUUGCUGACUUUGGGAUUGCUAAACAUCUCAUACAAUCAUUGAUGGUGAAUAAUUACAGCAUGGAUCUCGAUUGUGCUGCCGACAUGUGGAGUUUGGGACAUACUAUUACUGAAAUGAUAACUCCGUGAAGCUUCCUAGGAGUGAGUAUGAGCGGGCUCAAGUCAUAUUUAAGGUGAUGUGAAGUUCUCCAGCAAUACCUGAGACAUUAUCUCCCGAGGGAAAGGAUUUCCUGCAGUGCUGCUUUCGAACACAGCCUGCCAAGAAGCCUUCAGCAGCUAUGCCACUUGAGCAUGCUUUCCUGCGAAUUUGAAGUUGCUUAUGAUUGACUUAUUUCAAGUGCCAUACGUUGUUGCAAAUGGAUGUGGUACUGUAAAGUUCCAUAUUUACUAAACUAGAAUAAUCACAGGGUCCAUAGAUGUGAUGAAGUACUUGUAUAUCGACGAAAUAAGAUGCAUGUUCCUCUCGCAUGGUU